rnacentral:rRNA from 1 species
CCCUUAGAUGUCCGGGGCUGCACGCGCGCUACACUGAAGGAAUCAGCGUGCUAAAACCAUUGUCGAAAGGCAUUGGUAAACCCAUUAAAAUCCUACGUGAUUGGGAUCGGGAAUUGCAAUUAUUUCCCUUGAACGAGGAAUUCCCAGUAAGUGAGGGUCAUAAGCUCGCGUUGAUUACGUCCCUGCCCUUUGUACACACCGCCCGUCGCUGCCCGGGACUGAGCCGUUUCGAGAAAAGCGGGGACUGCUGCUGUCGGGGCUUUCGGGCCUUGGCUUCGGUGGAAACCGCUUUAAUCGCAGUGGCUUGAACCGGGCAAAAGUCGUAACA